GAUGAACGCUGGCGGCGUGCUUAACACAUGCAAGUCGAGCGAGAAAAGUUCUUCGGAGCUUUUCUAGCGGCGGACGGGUGAGUAACACGUGGGCAACCUGCCUCAUAGAGGGGAAUAGCCUUCCGAAAGGAAGAUUAAUACCGCAUAACAUUGUUGAAAGGCAUCUUUUAACAAUCAAAGGAGCAAUCCGGCUAUGAGAUGGGCCCGCGGCGCAUUAGCUAGUUGGUGAGGUAACGGCUCACCAAGGCGACGAUGCGUAGCCGACCUGAGAGGGUGAUCGGCCACAUUGGAACUGAGACACGGUCCAGACUCCUACGGGAGGCAGCAGUGGGGAAUAUUGCACAAUGGGGGAAACCCUGAUGCAGCAACGCCGCGUGAGUGAUGAAGGCCUUCGGAUUGUAAGGCUCUGUCUUUAGGGACGAUAAUGACGGUACCUAAGGAGGAAGCCACGGCUAACUACGUGCCAGCAGCCGCAGUAAAAC
rnacentral:rRNA from 1 species